GACAAAGUGGUCUAGCGGUUAGAACGCUGGCCUUGUAAUCCUGGGGUCUCGGGUUCGAUUCCCGGCGGUGCCC
rnacentral:tRNA from 1 species